rnacentral:misc_RNA from 1 species
AGCUGGAUCAUUUUUCCGAUGAUUAAACAAAACAAACAAAAAACAAAAAAUUGUUCUUCUUUUUUUGUGUGUGUUUUGUUUUUUCUCAUGAUUUUUUUGUCUCUUUUUUCUUUUGCUUUUUUUCAUUUUCUUUCUCGAUGUCUCUCUUGGGAUGUCCUGCGCCACAAAGCGGAGUACCGAUUCCUAAAUUUGUAGCAGAAGAGAAUGCAUACGCCAACCUGUGCUUUAUUGCCUCACCCUUCAACAAGGUGUGGGUGACGUAAUACAAGGCGAUUUUCUUCAUGAAAUGAAAGAGAGAAAUCUCUUUUGUUUUUUUGAAGGAGACUCUGCGUCCGGAACUCGGACAGAGGUUCCAAAGCCCCUACACGUUACUCAAGUUGCAUAGUACAAAACCCCCUACCAGGCGUUGCUUCUGUGAAACAGGGUUGCUAUUCUGCCCGAUACCAGGGAGAACAAGAGAGAAAGAGAGAGUGGAUGAGAAAGAGCUUCAAAAAAAAAGAAAACGGAGCGAUUAAAGAAUAAGAAGAAACGGGCACCUCAAAAAAAGUUGAACAAUCAACAAACCCCCCAAACAACUACUUUGCCGCCCAACUACGGUUGACGACGGCUCUCACAACGUGUCGCGAUGGAUGACUUGGCUUCCUAUUUCGUUGAAGAACGCAGCAAAGUGCGAUAAGUGGUAUCAAUUGCAGAACCCUUCAAUUACCGAAUCUUUGAACGCAAACGGCGCUUGGAAGAAGACAUUCGUGUUCAACUCCAAGCAUGCCAUGUUCUCAGUGUCGAACAAAAACCAAAAACAAUACCAGAUUCUGUGCUUGGCUUUCUUUCUCUGUCAAGAAAAAGAGAACCGGUGCAGUGGCUCUUUCUGUGCUUACCUUUGUGAGCGCGAUAAUGAGCGAAUCCUCGUUUUUUCCUUCUUUCUUUUUUCUCUCGCCUGCAAGGGUUGGGGGGAGAAGAAAAGAGGGGGACUUCCAAAAAGCCUGUGUUUUUACAUUUUCAAAAGAACUUAGAUCUUCGGGUUUACGUUCUUUUAAAAAAAAACCAAAACAAUUGUAACAAGUUGUCUUUUUGAUUUUUUUUACACGGUUUAAAAUUUUUGGAACAAAAAAAACUAACUUUCUGGUUCACUGACCUGAGCGUGGCAGGACUACCCGCCGAACUUAAGCAUAUUAUUCAGCGGAGGAAAAGAAAACAACCGUGAUUCCCUCAGUCAGGGGCGACCGAAGAGGGACCGGACUCGUUGCCGAAUCGGGGCCUCAAACGGUUUCGACGUGUGGCAUAAAUGCUGUUUGUGGAUGGUUUUUUUUACUGGACUGGCGAAAUUCAAUGUGCAAAGCAGACCCGUUGCUGGACACAACCUCUCCUGUGAGUAUUGAGCCCUAGACCGGUGUUAGCCCGUUGAGCCAGAAACCAGGGCCUCAUGGACAGCGAUCAGAGAGUAGCACUGCUUGGGAAUGCAGUGUGAAUCGGCAGGUAUGUGUCUGCCAAAGUUAAAUACAAAGUAGGAAGACCGAUAGCGAACAAGUAGCGUGAGCGAAAGUUUGAAAAGCACUUUGGAAAGAGAGUGACAUAGAACCUGAAGUCGUGACAACGACAAUGGACGUACCUCCAUUUCAACCUUACGGUCAAGGCCGACCACCUAAGCAUUCUCCGGUGUGGACUCGUAGAGACCAUGCUGCGUAAUUCUAAAGUGCAGAACAGGGGUACCGGUAAAGCGAGCGGAAGUAAAGGGCCUGAAGUCGGUAGCAUUUUUGGGUGUAAAAAGCCCUUGUUGCCGCGAGCGGGUUCUUUUCCGUGAUGCUCAAAACUUGACGCUGGAAAUGGGGUGCCUCCACCCGUCUUGAAACACGGACCAAGGAGUCAAACAGACGCGCAAGGGAGAGGUAUACAUUGUAAAACCAUCUCUCGUACUGAAAGGGAGGUCGCAAGACCCAUGGUGUGCACACAACACGAAUGCCCAACACCGACCGGCCCCUCUGUGGGUUGAGUUCGAGUGUGCCUGUUUGGACCCGAAAGGUGGUGAACUAUGCCUGAACAAGGUGAAGCCCGGGGAAACCCAGGUGGAGGCCUGUAGCGAUGCUGACGUGCAAAUCGCUCGUAUGAUUUGGGUAUCGGAGCGAAAGACUCAUCGAACCACCUAGUAGCUGGUUCACAU